GUGUGUGUUCGUACGAGCGACCAGGAGAAGAGGGGAGGGAGCCAACCCUAGUUCUUCAAGAAUCUUCAAAUUGAAGCUCAAUUCAGGCCCUAAAUCGAUGCAUAAACACAUAAAAACAAUCACCAAGCUUAGGGGAUCAUGAGUUUAACGCUUAACAAGCUAGGUGUGAGCUUGUGGAGGAAGUGGGUCAAACGGAUCAAGAACGAAAAGAAAAGCGUGGUUUGGAUGCAAGGUAAGUAAAAGCUUACACCCUUUUAUAGUAUACAUCAGUUGUGUGUAUUGAAAAUGAAUAGAAAAAAAUUCGUAAUUGAAUUUUGAUGUUCCGACGUGAAUAAUAUGGGUCGGAACAAGUGAAAGUAAUGAAAACCAUGAUGGUUGUAAAAAGGGGGGGGGGGUAAAAUAGUAAAUUAGUCACGAGUUUUGACACGAUAUUUGACCAGAAGUUGGUUUACAACAUAAAUUAUGUUUAGUAAUUUUUAUAGAUUUUUAUAAAGUCGUUUGACGAGGUCUUCGCGGAUGUUUUGUCAAUAAAUUAGUUGUUGACAGCAACAGUUCCGCUACUUGCAGAAAUUAUUUCGAGGUCUUAACCAACGAGUUUUGACACGAUAUUUGACCAGAAGUUGGUUUACAACAUAAAUGAUGUUUAGUAAUUUUUAUAGAUUUUUAUAAAGUCGUUUGACGAGGUUUUCGCGGAUGUUUUGUCAAUAAAUUAGUUGUUGACAGCAACAGUUCCGCUACUUGCAGAAAUUAUUUCGAGGUCUUAACCAUCGAGUUUUGACAUGAUAUUUGACCAGAAGUUGGUUUACAACAUAAAGAAUGUUUAGUAAUUUUUAUAGAUUUUUAUAAAGUCGUUUGACGAGGUUUUCGCGGAGGUUUUGUCAAUAAAUUAGUUGUUGACAGCAACAGUUCCGCUACUUGCAGAAAUUAUUUCGAGGUCUUAACCAUCGAGUUUUGACACGAUAUUUGACACGAUAUUUGACCAGAAGUUGGUUUACAACAUAAAGGAUGUUUAGUAAUUUUUAUAGAUUUUUUUAAAGUUGUUCGACGAGAUUUUCGCGGAUGUUUUGUCAAUAAAUUAGUUGUUGACAGCAACAGUUCCGUUACUUGCAGAAAUUAUUUCGAUGUCUUAACUAUCGAGUUUUGACAUGAUAUUUGGCCAGAAGUUGUUCAACAACAUAAAUAAUGUUUGGUAAGUUUUUUUUUACAUUUUAGACAUAAGCCUUUUUGGGUCAAGUGUCUAUAAACGGGUCUUUUCCGUAAAACAACCAACCGAAAUGUAGAAUCCGGGAAAAUCGGUCAAAUAUACUAAAUCCACCACGAGUAUAGUUGUGGUGAAAUGUAAGUAGAUAAUUCAAAUUUGGGAAAAUGAUGGGUGAAAAGAAUGAGCGAAAUUUAAACUUAAAAGUUUAAAUUCUCUAAACGGGUCAAAAGUGUUAAAAAGGGAUUUCAAGCCGAGAACUUGAAAUCUGAAUUUUUGAAGUAGUCUAAUAUCAGGUAGUGACUCUAUGAGAUGGAGAAUUAAAUUUCGAACGCGUAGGAAAAAGAAUCGGGUAAAACGGACUUGUAAAUAAAAAGUUAUAACACUUUAAAGUUCGUUUUACGACUAAAACUAUAGCUGGACAGACAUGCAGGUUCCAGAGACGGACCUGCUGGAAAAUGGUUUCCCCCGCGCCACGCGAUGGAGGACAUAGCCAGGGGCGCGACACGCGACAGGUUUUGUGAACGCCGUCGCGACACGCGACGGCUUAAAAUUUUGGAAAUUUUUGCUGAUCUUGUUGUUGGCUUAUUUUGACCCACAAACUGGUUCAAUAAUGUUUAUAAACGCCGAAUGACUAACUCAUUUCAUGUUUUAUGAAAUGUAGGUAUAUUAUACUGCAACGGAAGACGAUCAAGCUCGAAGAAGAACCGAACACAUGAAAAAGAAGCUUCCGCACAUUGUUUCGUCAUUAAUUUUUAAACGACAAAUCCUUUUACAUCAUGUUGUAUUACUUUUAAUAUAAAAGUU
rnacentral:lncRNA from 1 species